rnacentral:rRNA from 1 species
UACGUAGGGCGCGAGCGUUGUCCGGAAUUAUUGGGCGUAAAGAGCUUGUAGGCGGUUUGUCGCGUCUGCUGUGAAAGGCCGGGGCUUAACCCCGUGUAUUGCAGUGGGUACGGGUAGACUAGAGUGCAGUAGGGGAGACUGGAACUCCUGGUGUAGCGGUGGAAUGCGCAGAUAUCAGGAAGAACACCGAUGGCGAAGGCAGGUCUCUGGGCUGUAACUGACGCUGAGAAGCGAAAGCAUGGGGAGCGAACAGGAUUAGAUACCCCCGUAGUC